rnacentral:lncRNA from 1 species
AGCAGUCUGACUCAACUCCCAUGUCUGUCCAUCCAUGAUCAGGAGGUGAUUGCCCCAGGGCAUAGGGGCGAGAAGAUCCAAAAGCUCUCAGAGUUAGGAGGAGGCCAAAUAUCGAGUCAAGAUGGAGAUUGUUAGGAUUUGAUAUCUUGAGAUUUGAUCUACACUGAGCCCACAGUGAGAUCCACGAUGACGAAUAGAGUCCAAUGAGUCUAAGAUCAGUCCAAA